GCCUCGGCGCGGAGCGGCCGGGCCUCGGGGGCUGCUCCUGCUCGAUGGGCGCGGGGCCGCGGAGCGGAUCGGGGCCGUACGUCGGCGCCCAUCUCCCACUCGGCUGAUACUCGGCUCUGCCCUCGGACGUGCGGCGGUCGCCGCUACGGUGCUCGUUCGGACCCUCACAGGACCGUGCGUGGCGGCAGCGGCGGCUCUGCUCGCGCCCGGCACCGCUGCGGGAACGGCGGCACCUCCUGAGCGGAACGGCCGCGCCGCUGACACCGCCCCGGAGCCGCUCCGGAGCGAACUGCGCGCAGCGUCCGGGAAAGAAGGCUUCAGGAGCUGAGACUGCGACCGAAAAUAAUAAUGGAAGCAGGUUGGAAGGAAUCUUUUCCUGCAUCUUGUGUCAUGCCUCUGCUCAACGAUGAGUCAUUACAGAGUUGCAGUGCCAAAGGCUAUCUGUCCUCCCAGGAGUUCAACCUGAAAUUCCUAGCUGGAAAUGUUGUCGUCUUGUGUCCUUUGUCAGUAGUACUGAAGAUUUAAUUGUUGCGCAUCAAGAAACAAGUUCUAUCUCUUGUCCCAUGAGAUGCACUCUUAAUUAUGGCAAGCCCGGAGCAUGGCUGGCCCAGGUGGGUGUCUCCAGCAGGUUUCUGCCUCCUGGGUCAGAAAGUGGUCCCAGAUGUCUCCUGUCCCUUAUGCUUCCCACUGCUCCUCAACAGGCAAAGUCAGCACGUGCUGCCUAUGCUGAUGGAACGGCCAGGUAAGACUCCUUACUGCAUCACAGCCAGCUUUAUGACUGCAAUCUAGACAUAAUCUCAUUAAUUAUUAGAUGUCUGACAUCAAAUGUUACAGAAAUAAGAAUCUAGAAGACUUAUAAGUGUAAUCAUGCUCUAAAAUCACUUAAGAUGAGGGCGAGGGUCUAUCUGAAUGUUGAGCUUUAAGCUCUGAU
rnacentral:lncRNA from 1 species